CACGAGGAAUCCCGUCGGAAUCUGGGAGGACCAUCUCCCAACCCUAAAUACUCCCUAGUGACCGAUAGUGAACCAGUACCGUGAGGGAAAGGUGAAAAGCACCCCGGGAGGGGAGUGAAAGAGAACCUGAAACCGUGUGCCUACAACAAGUUCGAGCCCGUUAAUGGGUGAGAGCGUGCCUUUUGUAGAAUGAACCGGCGAGUUAUGUUAUGAUGCGAGGUUAAGUUGAAGAGACGGAGCCGUAGGGAAACCGAGUCUGAAGAGGGCGCCAUAGUAUCAUGAUGUAGACCCGAAACCAUGUGACCUACCCAUGAGCAGGUUGAAGGUGAGGUAAAACUCACUGGAGGACCGCACCAGGGCACGUUGAAAAGUGCUUGGAUGACUUGUGGGUAGCGGAGAAAUUCCAAACGAACUUGGAGAUAGCUGGUUCUCUCCGAAAUAGCUUUAGGGCUAGCGUCGACAGAAAGAUUCUUGGAGGUAGAGCACUGUUUGGGUGAGGGGUCCAUCCCGGAUUACCAAUCUCAGAUAAACUCCGAAUGCCAAUGAAUUAUGGUCGGCAGUCAGACUGCGAGUGCUAAGAUCCGUAGUCGAAAGGGAAACAGCCCAGACCACCAGCUAAGGUCCCAAAAUAAUUGUUAAGUGGAAAAGGAUGUGGAGUUGCACAGACAACUAGGAUGUUAGCUUAGAAGCAGCUAUUCAUUCAAAGAGUGCGUAAUAGCUCACUAGUCGAGUGACCCUGCGCCGAAAAUGUACCGGGGCUAAAACAAUUUACCGAAGCUGUGGAUCCUUUAGGGGAUGGUAGGAGAGCGUUCUAUGUGUGGUGAAGGUGUACCGUGAGGAGCGCUGGAACGCAUAGAAGUGAGAAUGCCGGUAUGAGUAGCGCAAGACAGGUGAGAAUCCUGUCCACCGUAAGACUAAGGUUUCCAGGGGAAGGCUCGUCCGCCCUGGGUUAGUCGGGACCUAAGGAGAGACCGAAAGGUGUAUCCGAUGGCCAACAGGUAGAGAUUCCUGUACUAGAGUAUAGAGUGAAGGAGGGACGCAGUAGGCUAACUCAAGCGUGCGAAUGGAAGAGCACGUCUAAGCAGUGAGGUGUGAUAGGAGUCAAAUGCUUCUAUCUGUAACAUUGAGCUGUGAUAGGGAGCGAAGUUUAGUAGCGAAGUGAGUGACGUCACACUGCCAAGAAAAGCUUCUAGCGUUAAUUUAUACUCUACCCGUACCGCAAACCGACACAGGUAGUCGAGGCGAGUAGCCUCAGGUGAUCGAGAGAACUCUCGUUAAGGAACUCGGCAAAAUGACCCCGUAACUUCGGGAGAAGGGGUGCUGGCUUAAAGUCAGCCGCAGUGAAUAGGCCCAAGCAACUGUUUAUCAAAAACACAGCUCUCUGCUAAAUCGUAAGAUGAUGUAUAGGGGGUGACGCCUGCCCGGUGCUGGAAGGUUAAGAGGAGUGCUUAGCGGUAACGCGAAGGUAUGAAUUGAAGCCCCAGUAAACGGCGGCCGUAACUAUAACGGUCCUAAGGUAGCGAAAUUCCUUGUCGGGUAAGUUCCGACCCGCACGAAAGGCGUAAUGAUUUGGGCACUGUCUCAACGAGAGACUCGGUGAAAUUUUAGUACCUGUGAAGAUGCAGGUUACCCGCGACAGGACGGAAAGACCCCAUGGAGCUUUACUGCAGUUUGAUAUUGAGUGUCUGUGCCACAUGUACAGGAUAGGUAGGA
rnacentral:rRNA from 1 species